GAUGAACGCUGGCGGCGUGCCUAAUACAUGCAAGUCGAGCGAACAGACGCGGAGCUUGCUCCUUUCACGUUUGCGGCGGACGGGUGUGUAACACGUGGAUAACCCCCUUAUCUGUCUGGGAUCACUUCGGGAAACCGGCGAUUAUCCCGGAUAAUCUCCUGCACCGCAUGGUUCAUUGGUGAAAGUCGGCUUUUCUGUCUCUUCUCGAUGGUUCCGGGCUGCAUUAGCUAGUUGUUACGGUAACGGCUUAUCACGGGUACGAUGCGUAGCCGACCGGUCAGGGUGAUCGGCCGCAUGGGAGGUGGGACACGGUCCAGGGUCCUGCGAGAGGCAGCAGAAGGGAAUGGGCCGCAAUAGGCGAAAGCCUGACGGAGCGGCGGCGCGUGAGUGAUGGAGGUCUUCGGAUCGUAAAGCUCUGUUAUUGGGGAAGAACAAAUGUGGAAGUAAACAUGCACGGAGUGACGGUACCGGGUCAGAAAGCCACGGCUAACUACGUG
rnacentral:rRNA from 1 species